rnacentral:rRNA from 1 species
GAUGAACGCUGGCGGCGUGCCUAAUACAUGCAAGUCGAGCGAACGGACGAGAAGCUUGCUUCUCUGAUGUUAGCGGCGGACGGGUGAGUAAUACGUGGAUAACCUACCUAUAAGACUGGGAUAACUUCGGGAAACCGGAGCUAAUACCGGAUAAUAUUUUGAACCGCAUGGUUCAAAAGUGAAAGACGGUCUUGCUGUCACUUAUAGAUGGAUCCGCGCUGCAUUAGCUAGUUGGUAAGGUAACGGCUUACCAAGGCAACGAUGCAUAGCCGACCUGAGAGGGUGAUCGGCCACACUGGAACUGAGACACGGUCCAGACUCCUACGGGAGGCAGCAGUAGGGAAUCUUCCGCAAAGGGCGAAAGCCUGACGGAGCAACGCCGCGUGAGUGAUGAAGGUCUUCGGAUCGUAAAACUCUGUUAUUAGGGAAGAACAUAUGUGUAAGUAACUGUGCACAUCUUGACGGUACCUAAUCAGAAAGCCACGGCUAACUACGUG